AAGUCGUAACAAGGUUUCCGUAGGUGAACCUGCGGAAGGAUCAUUAUUGAAUUUUUGAAGGAGCUGUUUGCUGGCCCUGUAGCGGGGCAUGUGCACGCUCCGUUCAAAUCCAACCUUCAUACACCUGUGCACUCUUUGUAGGGUUGUGGCCGCGAGGCUGCACCCUAUGUCAUUAUAUAAACUCUUUAGUAUGUGUAGAAUGACCAUUGCGUGUAACGCAUCUUUAUACAACUUUCAGCAACGGAUCUCUUGGCUCUC
rnacentral:misc_RNA from 1 species